UUUUCGUAAAAUGGCAGUUGGAAGUGUUUAUGUGUGUUGUGUAUGAUUGGAAAACCACUGAGUUGUAGCCUCAGUUUGGUUGUUGAAAGAUAAUGAAAUUGACUCAUGAAUUGAGAAGAAUAAAUGAACUGAAAAUGAACUAAAGGAAAAAGGAUUAAGCAUUGAAAUUGGCAUCACGUGGGUAAGUGGAUUAGGGGCUAGUGAUGAUGAACUCAAUGGAUUGCUUGUGACAAAAGGGAAGAUUAGGAGUAUUGUCUUGUAAGUAAUUGGGAAAUUGAAUUAAAAAGGGGUUUGUGAUUCUUGUGGCAUGUUGAACUCUAAUCCUUUGGAUUUUGAUGUUAUGGAGUAUGGUAAUUGGAAAUGGAAAUGAAAUGUGUAAUAUUAGAAUGGAAAUGAAAUGUGGAAUAUUAAAAUGGAAACGAAAUGAGGGAUAAUUUGGAAUUGAGUUGAUAAAUUUAAGAUAAUGUUCUUCCCUAAGUGUACCUGUUUUCAAAAUGAAUCUGUGGAUUCCUAAUGAUGAGAGACUACAUUUAUGGCAGGGAGUUUUCUUAAAGGUCCAAGUGAAAUUAUAAGAAAAGGACGGAAGUUUGGAUUAUUUGAUUAAAGAUUUAUGGGGUUCUUGAGUCUUUUUGUAUAACUUCAUGGUAGAUGUAAAGGAAGUGGAUGUUGUAUUUGUAUUUAUUUAUUUGUAGCACUGUAGGAGACUGGCAUGUAUUUUUGUCAUUGUAAUAUUCAUUGAGAGAGAGAGAGAGAACAUGUAUCAUUGUAUUUCUAUUACUCAAGUGUAAUAGAUAUUUGUAUAUGUAUAAAAAAAUUGGACCUAAAUUACAGGCUUUGGCAA